CCUACGGGGGGCAGCAGUGAGGAAUAUUGGUCAAUGGACGAGAGUCUGAACCAGCCAAGCAGCGUGAAGGAUGACUGCCCUAUGGGUUGUAAACUUCUUUUAUAUGGGAAUAAAACAGGGUAUGCAUACCCUCUUGUAUGUACCAUAUGAAUAAGGAUCGGCUAACUCCGUGCCAGCAGCCGCGGUAAUACGGAGGAUCCGAGCGUUAUCCGGAUUUAUUGGGUUUAAAGGGAGCGUAGGUGGAUUGUUAAGUCAGUUGUGAAAGUUUGCGGCUCAACCGUAGAAUUGCAGUUGAUACUGGCAGUCUUGAGGACAGUAGAGGUGGGCGGAAUUCGUGGUGUAGCGGUGAAAUGCUUAGAGAUCACGAAGAACUCCGAUUGCGAAGGCAGCUCACUGGACUACAACUGACACUGAUGCUCGAAAGUGUGGGUAGCAAACAGGAUUAGAUACCCCUGUAGUC
rnacentral:rRNA from 1 species